rnacentral:rRNA from 1 species
UGGGGAAUAUUGCACAAUGGGGGAAACCCUGAUGCAGCGACGCCGCGUGAGCGAAGAAGUAUUUCGGUAUGUAAAGCUCUAUCAGCAGGGAAGAAAAUGACGGUACCUGACUAAGAAGCCCCGGCUAACUACGUGCCAGCAGCCGCGGUAAUACGUAGGGGCAAGCGUUAUCCGGAUUUACUGGGUGUAAAGGGCGAGUAGGCGGACCUGCAAGUCAGAUGUGAAAUCCCCGGGCUUAACCCGGGAACUGCAUUUGAAACUGUAGGCCUUGAGUGAUGGAGAGGCAGGCGGAAUUCCCGGUGUAGCGGUGGAAUGCGUAGAUAUCGGGAGGAACACCAGUGGCGAAGGCGGCCUGCUGGACAUUAACUGACGCUGAGGAGCGAAAGCGUGGGGAGCAAACAGGAUUA